UCUGGUUGAUCCUGCCUGAACUGAUGUGUUCAUUUCAAAGAUUAAGCCAUGCAUGUAUAAGUUUAAUCGUUUUAACGAGAAACCGCGAACGGCUCAUUACAAUGGCCAUGAUUUACUUGAUCUUGAUUAUCUAAAUGGAUAACUGUGGAAAAGCUAGAGCUAAUACAUGCACCAAAGCUUUGUCCUCUCGGAAAAGCGCAUUUAUUAGAACAAAACCACGCGGCUUCGGCUGCUUCUUGUUGACUCAGAAUAACUAAGCUGACCGCAUGGCCUUGUGCCGGCGGCGUGUCUUUCAAGCGUCCACUUUAUCAACUUGACGGGAGCAUAAUCGACUCCCGUGGUGGUGACGGAUAACGGAGGAUCAGGGUUCGACUCCGGAGAAGGGGCCUGAGAAAUGGCCACUACGUCUAAGGAUGGCAGCAGGCGCGCAAAUUACCCACUCUCGGCUCGAGGAGGUAGUGACGAGAAAUAACGAGAUCGUUCUCUUUGAGGCCGGUCAUCGGAAUGGGUACAAUUUAAACCCUUUAACGAGUAUCAAGCAGAGGGCAAGUCUGGUGCCAGCAGCCGCGGUAAUUCCAGCUCUGCUAAUACAUAGAAUUAUUGCUGCGGUUAAAAAGCUCGUAGUUGGAUUCGUAUCGGUACCCUGGAACCCUCCGGGUGUUUCUGGGUGCUAUCGAUUUAUCGUAAUGUUCGGUUAAGAGUCCUUAACAGGAUUCUUAACAGGCAUUGCAAGUUUACUUUGAACAAAUCAGAGUGCUUCAAACAGGCGUUUUCGCUUGAAUGAUCGUGCAUGGAAUAAUAGAAAACGAUUUCGGUUCAGUUUUAUUGGUUUUACGGACUGAGAUAAUGGUUAACAGAGACAAACGGGGGCAUUUGUAUGGCCCCGUGAGAGGUGAAAUUCUUGGACCGUGGCCAGACAAACUACAGCGAAAGCAUUUGCCAAGAAUGUCUUCAUUAAUCAAGAACGAAAGUCAGAGGUUCGAAGGCGAUCAGAUACCGCCCUAGUUCUGACCGUAAACGAUGCCAACUAGCGAUCCGCCGAUGGAAAUUAUAUUGCCUUGGUGGGGAGCUUCCCGGAAACGAAAGUCUUCCGGUUCCGGGGGAAGUAUGGUUGCAAAGCUGAAACUUAAAGGAAUUGACGGAAGGGCACCACCAGGAGUGGAGCCUGCGGCUUAAUUUGACUCAACACGGGGAAACUCACCCGGCCCGGACACUGUGAGGAUUGACAGAUUGAUAGCUUUUUCAUGAUUCAGUGGAUGGUGGUGCAUGGCCGUUCUUAGUUCGUGGAGUGAUUUGUCUGGUUUAUUCCGAUAACGAGCGAGACUCUAACCUACUAAAUAGCUGGUACAUAAUUUACGUGUAUACAGCUUCUUAGAGGGAUUUGCGGUGUUCAGCCGAAAGAAAUUGAGCAAUAACAGGUCUGUGAUGCCCUUAGAUGUCCGGGGCUGCACGCGCGCUACACUGGCAAAAUCAACGUGCUUGUCCUACCCCGAAAGGGGCGGGUAAACCAUUGAAAAUUUGCCGUGAUUGGGAUCGGAAAUUGCAAUUAUUUUCCGUGAACGAGGAAUUCCAAGUAAGUGCGAGUCAUCAGCUCGCGUUGAUUACGUCCCUGCCCUUUGUACACACCGCCCGUCGCUGCCCGGGACUGAGCCAUUUCGAGAAAUUUGGGGACCGUUGAUUUAAUUUUUCUAAAUUACUUUGAUGGAAACCAAUUUAAUCGCAGUGGCUUGAACCGGGCAAAAGUCGUAACAAGGUAGCUGUAGGUGAACCUGCUGCUG
rnacentral:rRNA from 1 species